CCAAACUGUUGCCUCGGCGGGGUCACGCCCCGGGUGCGUCGCAGCCCCGGAACCAGGCGCCCGCCGGAGGGACCAACCAAACUCUUUUCUGUAGUCCCCUCGCGGACGUUAUUUCUUACAGCUCUGAGCAAAAAUUCAAAAUGAAUCAAAACUUUCAACAACGGAUCUCUUGGUUCUGGCAUCGAUGAAGAACGCAGCGAAAUGCGAUAAGUAAUGUGAAUUGCAGAAUUCAGUGAAUCAUCGAAUCUUUGAACGCACAUUGCGCCCGCCAGUAUUCUGGCGGGCAUGCCUGUCCGAGCGUCAUUUCAACCCUCGAACCCCUCCGGGGGGUCGGCGUUGGGGACCUCGGGAGCCCCUAAGACGGGAUCCCGGCCCCGAAAUACAGUGGCGGUCUCGCCGCAGCCUCUCCUGCGCAGUAGUUUGCACAACUCGCACCGGGAGCGCGGCGCGUCCACGUCCGUAAAACACCCAACUUCUGAAAUGUUGACCUCGGAUCAGGUAGGAAUACCCGCUGAACUUAAGCAUAUCAAUAAGCCGGAGGAA
rnacentral:rRNA from 1 species